rnacentral:misc_RNA from 1 species
AACUUUCAGCAAUGGAUCACUUGGCUCUCGCAUCGAUGAAGAACGCAGCGAAAUGCGAUAAGUAAUAUGAAUUGCAGAAUUCAGUGAAUCAUCGAAUCUUUGAACGCACCUUGCGCUCCUUGGUAUUCCGAGGAGCAUGCCUGUUUGAGUGUCAUUAAAUUCUCAACCUUAUCAGUUUAUUUCUGAUAGUGGCUUGGAUGUGGGGGUUUUCUUGCUGGCUGAGGUCAGCUCCCCUUAAAUGCAUUAGCUGGUGCCCCGUGUGGACUGUCUAUUGGUGUGAUAAUUAUCUACGCCAUGGAUGUCUGCAAGCGCUGCUUCUAACCGUCUGUUAAUUCAGACAAUACAAUGACAAUUUGACCUCAAAUCAGGUAGGACUACCCGCUGAACUUAAGCAUAUCAAUAAGCGGAGGCU